rnacentral:rRNA from 1 species
UACGGAGGGGGCUAGCGUUGUUCGGAUUUACUGGGCGUAAAGAGCGCGCAGGCGUUCGUUCAAGUCGCGUGUGAAAGCCCCCGGCUCAACUGGGGAGGGUCACGCGAUACUGAUCGACUCGAAGGCAGGAGAGGGUAGUGGAAUUCCCGGUGUAGUGGUGAAAUGCGUAGAUAUCGGGAGGAACACCCGUGGCGAAGGCGGCUCUCUGGGACGGUACUGACGCUGAGACGCGAAAGCGUGGGGAGCGAACAGG